UACCAGCACCCCGAGUGGUCGGGACGAUUAUUGGGCCUAAAGCAUCCGUAGCCGGUCCUGCAAGUCUUCCGUUAAAUCCAGCUGCUCAACAGAUGGGCUGCGGGGGAUACUACAGGGCUAGGAGGCGGGAGAGGCAAGCGGUACUUAUGGUGAGGGGUAAAAUCCGUUGAUCCAUAGAAGACCACCAGUGGCGAAGGCGGCUUGCCAGAACGCGCUCGACGGUGAGGGAUGAAAGCUGGGGGAGCAAACCGG
rnacentral:rRNA from 1 species